GUUUGACACAAGACCUGGCCCAAUCGGUGGCUGGAUUGGCCGGAUUUCAGCCGGAAGACAAAGCGGCGCGCUACGCGUCGCGAGCUUCACGCGCGGUUUCCCGGUGUUCCAGGAGGCGGCAGGCGAUGGGGGGAGGCUGAGGUGGCGCGCUGGUGAGGUGGCGCGCUGGUGAGGUAGGGAGGACUGGGUGGUGGCUAGCCGAAGA
rnacentral:misc_RNA from 1 species